UUAAAAAAAAUUAAUCAGUAACAAUUAAAAAGAUUAAUACGACGUACAUAUAUCAUUUGAAAGAAAUUAUUACUGGAAAAAUUAUACAAGUGGCAGAGAGAUGAAUCGAUUUUUGGUGAUUAUAUAGUUGGCAUCUUGGAGAGUGAUGAAAUGCAUGAAUAAAAAGCAGAUACUUUACAGGAACUGUUAGGUGCAGUGGUGGGUGAUACAAGUUAAUUUUAGUUAAAAUGAUAUUAGGAAAAAGCACGAAAAAUAUAUAGCGUCAGAUACGUAAACAAAUAUUAGCAUAUUACUCAAAGAUAAUGUUGCUUGUAAAUCCUACCAAAGCUGUUACUGUACCAUAUACAAUUUGGAAUAUCAUGACAUCACGCGGCUUAUUGCUUAUUGCUUACAGCUGAUUAGGUCUAUUAAAUUAUGCGAUAUGGAGUCAAUGUCGUCACUAAAAUACUAGACCUGUCGGAUUCUGUAUCUGAUGUUUUUUUUCGCAUUUCAUACGAAUUACUAGUGCGAUGGAUGUUAAAAAGCUCAUGGAUGAAAUCGAAAUUUAUUUGACAAAAUGUAUGCGAUAAAAAGAAGGAAAUUAUUUUUAAUCCAUUUAAAUGUGGGCUUAAAAUUUCGAAUUUAGAUAAAAAAAGACUUAAAUGGAAAGUAAUAUUAACGGGAAGUUUAACCAAAUAUGCACCUAUCCAAGAAGAAAUGUUUAUGCAAGGCGAAUAUAUGUUACAACCUCUCUAAUGACAAAUGAAGAGUGAUUGUGAAAAUAAAAAAGAACAAUUUAAUUUACAAAG